AUUGAACGCUGGCGGCAGGCUUAACACAUGCAAGUCGAGCGGGGAAGGGUAGCUUGCUACCUAACCUAGCGGCGGACGGGUGAGUAAUGCUUAGGAAUCUGCCUAUUAGUGGGGGACAACAUUCCGAAAGGAAUGCUAAUACCGCAUACGCCCUACGGGGGAAAGCAGGGGAUCUUCGGACAUUGCGCUAAUAGAUGAGCCUAAGUCAGCUUAGCUAGUUGGUGGGGUAAAGGCCUACCAAGGCGACGAUCUGUAGCGGGUCUGAGAGGAUGAUCCGCCACACUGGGACUGAGACACGGCCCAGACUCCUACGGGAGGCAGCAGUGGGGAAUAUUGGACAAUGGGCGCAAGCCUGAUCCAGCCAUGCCGCGUGUGUGAAGAAGGCCUUUUGGUUGUAAAGCACUUUAAGCGAGGAGGAGGCUACUUGGAUUAAUACUCUAGGAUAGUGGACGUUACUCGCAGAAUAAGCACCGGCUAACUCUGUGCCAGCAGCCGCCGUAAAAC
rnacentral:rRNA from 1 species